rnacentral:rRNA from 1 species
UACAGAGGGUGCAAGCGUUAAUCGGAAUUACUGGGCGUAAAGGGCGCGUAGGCGGAUAGUUUAGUCAGAGGUGAAAGCCCAGGGCUCAACCUUGGAAUUGCCUUUGAUACUGGCUAUCUUGAGUUCGGGAGAGGUGAGUGGAAUGCCGAGUGUAGAGGUGAAAUUCGUAGAUAUUCGGCGGAACACCAGUGGCGAAGGCGACUCACUGGCCCGAUACUGACGCUGAGGCGCGAAAGCGUGGGGAGCAAACAGG